CUGAGAUUAGAUGAUAAUAAGAAAACUUUGAUCCUCAAUAUUUGUAUAUAAAUUCAUCAUCAUUGAAAUAGAACCUAUAUAUAUACUCACAUUCUGCUUAUAGAAUUGUCAUUGAUACUGCAGCAGAUCGGAGCUUCAAACCAUCCUCGGCCCAUUUGCUUUCGGGGGCCGUGGCACCAGCAAUGACGGCCUUUCCACUGUUAACACCAGCCACUAAUGCAACGUGUUGCUCAUUUCUCACAAAUUCAUAAAAAUAGUAUGUCCUGAAACCCUCAUCUUCUUUAAUUUUUAUUGUGCGGACAGAAUAUAGUGUUGAGCCAGCUGUCAUACUGGAACAAAUAUUUUUGCUGCCUCCUUAAGUGAACCUAAAUCAGUAAUAUCUUUAGCCUCUAAGAAAGUGAUCUUCAGCUGAUUGGAUGGACGAAUUAUGACACUUAAAACUUCGGAUCCAUCAGAAGAAGCAAAACGUGCUGCAAAUUUUUUGGGCUUAGCCUUAUCUCCAUAUAGUGAUAGGCCAGCAUUAUAAUCCUCCGGCUCAGUGAGGUCCUGAAAUUCCGGUGGAACACGAAUAGAAAAGCCGUCGCCAUAGAAUUGGAACCAAGACUUAGUAUUGGCAAUACCUGAAAGAAAACUAUUGGAAUUGGUUUGGGCGUCGGAUUUUGGAAUUAAUUGAGAGAGCAAUAAAUUAGAACCAGUGAAAAACACUUGUCUUCUCGAAAUAGAGUUAGGUUGGGUACACAUUGAAUUGGGUUUUUGCAAAGGUUUUGGUGGGUGGAUAGACACGGACAGGGAGAGGAGCGUGGACAUGGCCAUGAGAGGGUGAAAUUGGG
rnacentral:misc_RNA from 1 species